GAUCUUCUUCGGAAGAGAGCGGCGGACGGGUGAGUAACGCGUGGGUAACCUGCCCUGGACACACGGAUAACAUACCGAAAGGUAUGCUAAUACGAGAUAAUAUGCUUUUGUCGCAUGGUAGAAGUAUCAAAGCUCCGGCGGUACAGGAUGGACCCGCGUCUGAUUAGCUAGUUGGUAAGGUAACGGCUUACCAAGGCGACGAUCAGUAGCCGACCUGAGAGGGUGAUCGGCCACAUUGGAACUGAGACACGGUCCAAACUCCUACGGGAGGCAGCAGUGGGGAAUAUUGCACAAUGGGCGAAAGCCUGAUGCAGCAACGCCGCGUGAGCGAUGAAGGCCUUCGGGUCGUAAAGCUCUGUCCUCAAGGAAGAUAAUGACGGUACUUGAGGAGGAAGCCCCGGCUAACUACGUGCCAGCAGCCGCGGUAAUACGUAGGGGGCUAGCGUUAUCCGGAAUUACUGGGCGUAAAGGGUGCGUAGGUGGUUUCUUAAGUCAGAGGUGAAAGGCUACGGCUCAACCGUAGUAAGCCUUUGAAACUGGGAAACUUGAGUGCAGGAGAGGAGAGUGGAAUUCCUAGUGUAGCGGUGAAAUGCGUAGAUAUUAGGAGGAACACCAGUUGCGAAGGCGGCUCUCUGGACUGUAACUGACACUGAGGCACGAAAGC
rnacentral:rRNA from 1 species